rnacentral:rRNA from 1 species
AAAGAUUAAUAUCCGAUAGCAUAUAUUUCCCGCAUGGGUUUUAUAUUAAAGAAAUUCGGUAUGAGAUGGGGAUGCGUUCCAUUAGUUUGUUGGCGGGGUAACGGCCCACCAAGACUACGAUGGAUAGGGGUUCUGAGAGGAAGGUCCCCCACAUUGGAACUGAGACACGGUCCAAACUCCUACGGGAGGCAGCAGUGAGGAAUAUUGGUCAAUGGACGCGAGUCUGAACCAGCCAAGUAGCGUGAAGGAUGACUGCCCUAUGGGUUGUAAACUUCUUUUAUAUGGGAAUAAAGUGGUCCACGUGUGGAUUUUUGUAUGUACCAUAUGAAUAAGGAUCGGCUAACUCCGUGCCAGCAGCCGCGGUAAUACGGAGGAUCCGAGCGUUAUCCGGAUUUAUUGGGUUUAAAGGGAGCGCAGACGGGUCGUUAAGUCAGCUGUGAAAGUUUGGGGCUCAACCUUAAAAUUGCAGUUGAUACUGGCGUCCUUGAGUGCGGUUGAGGUGUGCGGAAUUCGUGGUGUAGCGGUGAAAUGCUUAGAUAUCACGAAGAACCCCGAUUGCGAAGGCAGCACACUAAUCCGUAACUGACGUUCAUGCUCGAAAGUGUGGGUAUCAAACAGGAUUAGAUACCCUGGUAGUC